rnacentral:rRNA from 1 species
UACGUAGGGUGCAAGCGUUGUCCGGAAUUAUUGGGCGUAAAGAGCUCGUAGGUGGCGGGUCACGUCGGGUGUGAAAGCCCGGGGCUUAACCCCGGGUCUGCAUUCGAUACGGGCUUGCUAGGGUCCGGCAGGGGAGACUGGAAUUCCUGGUGUAGCGGUGAAAUGCGCAGAUAUCAGGAGGAACACCGGUGGCGAAGGCGGGUUCUCUGGGGCCGGACUGA